UGGCUGGGACCCCUGCAGAACCUGCUUCAUAUACGGGCAGUGGGCACCAAUUCCACACUGCACUAUGUGUGGAGCAGCCUGGGGCCUCUGGCAGUGGUAAUGGUGGCCACCAACACCCCCCACAGCACCCUGAGCGUCAACUGGAGCCUCCUGCUAUCCCCUGAGCCCGAUGGGGGCCUGAUGGUGCUCCCUAAGGACAGCAUUCAGUUUUCUUCUGCCCUUGUUUUUACCAGGGUGAGGAGGUUGGGAGAGAACCAAGGAGAAGAGUGCAGAGGAGAGAGUUCAUCCCAAUUAGAGGGUGGAACUAAAGACUGGGGGUGGGUGAAAUAGACUCAGAUAUGAAAGCCUUGGUAGGGGGUGAGUGGGAGGUGUGGUCUCGGGAGAAAAACUGAGGCAAGCCCAGUUCCACCCUACCCCCACCCUCCAGCUGCUUGAGUUUGACAGCACCAAUGUGUCCGAUACGGUAGCAAAGCCUCUGGGAAGACCAUAUCCUCCAUACUCCUUGGCCGAUUUCUCUUGGAACAACAUCACUGAUUCAUUGGAUCCUGCCACCCUGAGUGCCACAUUUCAAGGCCACCCCAUGAACGACCCUACCAGGACUUUUGCCAAUGGCAGCCUGGCCUUCAGGGUCCAGGCCUUUUCCAGGUCCAGCCGACCAGCCCAACCCCCUCGCCUCCUGCACACAGCAGACACCUGUCAGCUAGAGGUGGCCCUGGUUGGAGCCUCUCCCCGGGGAAACCGUUCCCUGUUUGGGCUGGAGGUAGCCACAUUGGGCCAGGGCCCUGACUGCCCCUCAAUGCAGGAGCAGCACUCCAUCGAUGAUGAAUAUGCACCGGCCGUCUUCCAGUUGGACCAGCUGCUGUGGGGCUCCCUCCCAUCAGGCUUCGCACAGUGGCGACCAGUGGC
rnacentral:sRNA from 1 species